AAAAUAGAAAAUCUUAAAAAGUAAACAAAUUUAUAUAUACUAAUUCAUUUACUAACUCAUACGAUCAUGCCACGUGUCAAGUCAAACGAUCAGAUGUGUACAUGUCAUUCAAAAUUUAACUUUUUAUUCUCUUAAAAAAAUAGAAAAU
rnacentral:sRNA from 1 species